GUGAAAGUAAGUUUAUUAAGAAAGUGAAGGGAUGAAGAAUGGCUCCCCGACCAAGGACACUUACUGUUACUUCUUCAUUAUGCGCUGAACAAGGGGUGGAUUUUUCAUGAAUUUUCCAGGAAAGGGGUGCAAAAUUCCCAGAACUGUGGGCUCCUCCCCUUUUUAGGCCAUAGAGGGUAGCUUCCCGACGUUGCCGUGGCCUCUGUAAACUGCCACCGUGCUGGUAGGAGUGUCUCUUAGAUGCUAAUGCAUUCGAAUUAGCGUGUAAUGAGCAGUGAGGACAACCAGAGGUCACUUUCAUGCCGCCUUGGUUUUGGUGGGUACUGGGUAUUGGAUGGCUUCCUGACCACAACUUGUUUUAUUAAUAAGGUUUUAACGACCUGCCUCUUGCGCGGUCGUCCCGUCUCACCUUGUGACUGAGAAUCCCUAAGCUCCUGGGAAUGCAGCGCAGCAGGCCUCAGCCUCAUCAGACCCAGCCCCUGUUCAAGAUGGAGUCACUCUGGUUCAAACGCCCCUGACAGAACCAGGGGCAGUGAGCUUUGCCGUGUACACAGCCAGGGCGCUGGGCCCCACCUGGGAAGCUGCUCCUGGCAGGCAUUGCCCUACCUCCCAGGAGGAUCACCUUGCUUACUGAGCCCUUCCACAGCACAGGCCACAAAAGGAGCCCCUUUCCCGUGUCCUGGACGAGGAUCUGGGAACCCACCCCAGACAAGCCAUGGCUAGGCAAGGCUCUGGGGAUUGGCCUGACUCAGGGUCUCAGUCCCAGCAGCCGUUCCAGGGUGGAUUCUGGGGGCCCCAAGGGAGGCAGCCCUAGCGCCUGGUUAGGGACCCGGAGAGGUCAGGUGAGGCCCCCAACACCAGGCAGGAGAGGUGGUCCUGGCAGGUUGCCCGGAGCAUGCCCUCUGGGAGGUCCUCAGGGCUUGUGUUGACCACCAGGGCCGGUGCCUGCUUCCGACAGCGUGGCGGCCGUGCAGGACUGUGCCUCAGGUGCUAGGAUUGUGUAGAAUCCUGAGUUUCUGGAACCAUCUGCCUGUUGCACCAAUACCGGCUCCCUCCCCCACACCCUUCAGCAGCUGCUGAGGCUGAGGUGCCAAAAGGAGGGGCCCAGGAAUGCCCCUGUCUGCAAGUGGUGCCAGGCCCCAGCCUCUGGGUGACUCUUGGCAAGGAGCAGGACGGCCGGGAGGGACGGUGUCCCUGCACAUCCCCAUGGGCCCCUGCAAGUCCCCGUGAGUCCGAGCGUGUCCCCACGUGUCCCCGUGAGUCCCCUAGCGAUCCGGGACGUCCCUGUGAGUCCCUGUGUGUCCCUGCGAAUACAGGCGCUGAGCUCUGAGUCUCUGUUUUGCUUUGAUUAGGCCUCCAUCUCCUAGUCCAGGCCUUGCUACCCUCCCCCAGGCCUCACCCUGGAAACACCACCCCCUCCCUGUUCUGUGUCCUGGGACCCCAUCUCCUAGGUGGGCCCCCAGCAGCCCUCAGACCACCCUCCGACGUGAGGUUCUGUCAGGGAACCCUGUGCUACUCCAAUGUUGUCCCCAGGGCUUACUCCCUGAGCUGCCUCCCGGCUCAGACUGGCCCAGCCGCUCCCCUUGGCCGGAAGGAGACUGCAUGGGCUGUGCUGAGCUCAGCCUCCUCCUCUUUCCGCUUCUGCCACCCUCCCACCACCCGCCCACCUGCGUCUGUGCUGGGUUUCCCUGGCAGGAGCUCUGUGCACCUGUCCAGGUGUGUCUGCUGGAAGCUCCCGCUGCUCCCUCUGGGCAGGCACAGGUGCACCUGCAGGCCCAGGGAAGAAUGCAGCACGCCCUCCCUCCCUGCUGCCCCCACCCUGGCUAAGGAGGUGAGGGGACCUGCGCGGGCAGCCGCCCUGGCUAAGGAGGUGAGGGGACCUGCGCGGGCAGCCGCCCUGGCUAAGGAGCUCAAGCUCUGGGAAGGCCAGGUCUUUGCUCCUCUGCCCAGACGCAGAUGCAGGUGCACCCUGGGUCCUCCUGUCCUCGCUGGGUGUUGAGCGGAGACAGGAGGUGCCUGCCCAGGUCCCUUGUCCUGAGAGUGCCUCCUCCCAGCCAGCCUCGCCCGGUGGGGUCCUGCAGGUUACGACUGAAGCGAGUGGUGCGGCUUCUGGAAGAUUCUGGAGGGUCCUGGGCUGCCCGGGAGGCUGCUUGAUGGGGGUGGUGGAAAAGGGGCCCCCACAGCUAAUACUCCUGUAAACCAAACGGGUGCAAUUCUGGGUGAUUUUCCGCAGAUUUUUCUGAACCACAUCCAGAAGUAAAGUCGUGGAGGAGAUAUCAAAACUUCUUGGGUAUCUAAACUUCCUCUUUCAGGGGAAGAAGCAGAGGUAGCUUUGACUGCCCCAGCUGGCCAGGGCGUCCCUUGAGCUCUGACCCCUGACCCUCUGGCUCCUCACCUGGGAGUCAGGUGAUGGCUUCACGCCCAGGACACAAUGGGCUGUGCAGUUUCCAGCUCUGACGGCAGCAGGGCGUUCUUUUCCUCUUGAAUCACCAGGUUUCGGGUCAGCAGUGUCGAGAGCCCGGCUCCAAGGUGCUUCUGAACGGUAAUCUCAGCCGGGAUCUUUUCUUCCUGUUUAAUCAUAUCCAGAAAUUACAUCCCAUCAGGGUGACCCCUGUGACUUUUUCCGUGAAACAGUGGGUGCCCCAGGUGUUCCCGUGUUCAUCCGCGUGAGGGCUUUGGAAACCUUGCCAGGGAUGCCUGAGCAAGUGUGUCUCUCGGGGGUUGGCCGAUGCCCCAGCUGGGCUCCUGGAGCCGCCCUCCACCCUGUCGCCUGGGACGCUGUGGUUUCCCUGGUCCUGGUCCUGGUCCUGGGCGUCACAGGAAAGCUGAGGGGGCCAGGAGGGGAGGGCGCCUGGUUCUGUCCCUUACGCUAGGGGAAGCCCGGAACUUUCUCUGGCCCUUGUGGGCCUGGGAUGCUCGGGACACUCCUGGUGGCCCAUGGCCACCUCCUUGCCUUGGGUGGCUGCUAAGGCUCUGUGAGACUGGACUUCGGAGGUGGGGGUGUUACCUGAACGUCCUGCCCACCUCCGACUUUCACUUGGAGCCAGGAGGCGUUGUACCCUGCAACAGCUCAGCCCUUGGGGAUGCACAGAGGGGCCGGCAGCAGUGGCGGCUGGCUGAGGGAGGCCUCUUGGAGGGGUGUCCUCGUGUGUCUAGGAGAGACGUGGCUGUCCCCCUGGCCUGGCAGGCCCUAGGCAGCAGCUGUGACCGAGGUUUGAGGAGAGGGACUUCUAGAGGCCAUCAGACUUGGGAUCCCAGGGGUGCUCCCAAGCCUUGCAGGGGAUCCCAGGAGUGCUCCCAAGCCUUGCAGGGGCAGCGGGGUAUGCUUGGCCAUCAGGGAAAGCUGAAAGCAGAGCUGGCAGGUGUGUUGGACGCACAUGGGGAUGGAGCACGUGGCAGGGAGCCGCGUGACUGAGGGUCCAGCUUGUGUGGGUGGAUGGUGGGAGUGGGUCUGGUUUCUGCAUGUGUGUGCACAUAUGUGUGUAUGCAAACAUGUGAUCCAUUCUAGGAAAAGGCUGGAAGCCGUGUAGAGACCAGGCAGGCACUUGGGGCCACUCCCAUUGGUGUGCACGCAUGCACACACACACGCACACAUACAUGCACACACGUGCACACAUGCUCCGCUGCAGCCUGUCAGGACUGGUGGUCACAGGGCAGACCCAAUACCCAUGGGCCACCUGGUCUGUACCAGUCUCACUAGCCACCGCACCUGCUGAGCCUGUUGUUUAUCAAAUAUUUACUGAGCCCCAGAGGUCUCAGAGUGUUGGGGGCUGGGCAGCACUUUUCCUCCCUAUGAGAAGAUGAAUUCUAGAACCUUCCAUCAACCACAUGAGGAAGGAAACCCCUGUUGGGGGCUCCAUCUGUACCCAGGCAUGCUCCAGGGUCACUGGGUCCGCGUGAGAUGUCCCAUCCUGCCUCCAUGCAUUGCUGGUGGCUUUUGUUUGUCUGAGUCUGGCUUCAUUUCCUGGAGCGAGGCCACCAGUUUCCACUGGGCCUGACUGCUCCGUGAGAGCUCGUCCUGGGAUUUGGCUCUUGUGCUGCAGAUCAGCGGGAGUUUACCUGGCAACUUGGAUCCAGCAACCCUGGUCCCACAGGAGCUGGAGCGGACUUCCCGCCAGGUUGAGACCACAGGUGCAGGGGAAGGGGCGAGAGUGUUCCUCAGGCACCCACCUCCCAGCCACGCCCACUCCCAGCCUGCCUUAAGGAUGAGAUCUGUUUCCUCAGUGAACUUGCCCCAGUGCAUGGCGUGAGAAGCUAAAUGACACACAUCCUACAUUCACUGCUUCUGGAAUAACCAGAGAUCACGCGCCUGUCACCACCCCCAGAUGAAAACCAGGACGUCGCAGCCCUGGAGAAUCUGAGCCACUCUUGGGACACUUUCCUGGGGUGUGGGCAUCUCCUCGUGCUUUAUCUUCCCUUCCUUGAUGACAAGUGCUAAUUUGAUAACAGGAGAUGUGCAAAAUUACUUCUUUUUUAAAAUUCUCUGAAAGAC